UCGCCUCUCCAAUCUGAUUUUACGUGGAAAAGACUUUAGUCAAGGUAAAGAGUAACGGAUUGUGUUGCAAUGUUUCACGAAUUUAUUUUCAUACGAUAUUUUCCAGAAAUAUUUCUCAUUUCACAUCGCAUUAAUCAAUAAAAUUAUACCACCAGAGUAAUAAGAAAUUAAAAUGUGCAACAUCAUGAUCAAAACCGGACGAUGAUCGUGAAAACAUCAACCUAAAUGGAAGCACUCAACUUACAUCAACAUAAUCGCGCUUCAGUGACACUAUAGCGGGGAAAACGGCUUUUCUAGUAAAUGCCUUUCGUCUCGGCGUAAAUCAAUGGAGGAAAUAAUAUAGGAAGAGAGCAUAAAAAUGACUUUAUUACCUGAUGUCAGCAAGCAAAUUGCAUAAGAGACGCAAAACAGCAGGAAAGAUGCACCUGAAUUUCAACUCACUGUCUUUUGUCACAUCAUCUCCAAGAGAAUUUCAUUAGCAAAUAGCACUGCGAUAUAUCAUCAACGUGAUUCACCGUCCUGGGCGCGGAU